rnacentral:misc_RNA from 1 species
UAUCAUCAACCUUCAACACUUUUGUGUCUGUAGGCUUGGAAUUGGAGUUCGUGUCGGCGUUCGCGUCGGCUCCUCUGAAAUGCAUUAGCGUGAAUCUUACGAAUCGCCCUCGGUGUGAUAAUUUCUACGCCGUAGACGUGCAGUAUAUAGUGUUCGUGCUUACAACCGUCUGCAAAGACAAUAUCAUUUUGACA